ACCUGCCUGCAGAUACAAACCCCACUCCCUGCGAAGAUGGUGUACACGCAGCCCCGAGCACAGACCCGAAGCUGUCCACCCUUCUUGGGCGCCGUCGCGGUCUGGCCGCUGCCCUUCGAACCCAUGCCAUGUUGGAACUACAUUUGGAAAGGUGGUUGUUAAACAUUUCCCAGCACACACCUGGAUCUGCAUCUGCUGUGUCAAUUGAACCACUCACUGGUUCUGUGACCUCAGUUCUUCGUAGACUCUGGAAUGGAGCUGGAAGCUGUCAUCCUCAGCACACUAACGCAGGAACAGAAAACCAAGCACUGCAUGUUCCCACUUAUAAGUGAGAGCUGAACGAGCAGAACACAUGGACAUAUGAAGGGGAACAACACACUCUGGGGCCUGUGAGGUGCAGGGAGAGCAUCAAGAAGAACAGCUAAUGGGUGCUGGGCUUAAUACCUGGGUGAUGGGUUGAUCUGUGCGGCAAACCACCAUGGCACACAUUUACCUAUGUAACAAACCUUGACAUCCUGCACAUGUACCCCGGAACUUAAAAAUAAAAGUUGACAAAAAGAAA
rnacentral:lncRNA from 1 species